UCAGAGGGAGGUAGAAUUNCACGUGUAGCAGUGAAAUGCGUAGAGAUGUGGAGGAAUACCGAUGGCGAAGGCAGCCUCCUGGGAUAACACUGACGUUCAUGCCCGAAAGCGUGGGUAGCAAACAGGAUUAGAUACCCUGGUAGUCCACGCCCUAAACGAUGUCGAUUAGCUGUUGGGCAGCAUGACUGCUUAGCAGCGAAGCUAACGCGUGAAAUCGACCGCCUGGGGAGUACGGUCGCAAGAUUAAAACUCAAAGGAAUUGACGGGGACCCGCACAAGCGGUGGAUGAUGUGGAUUAAUUCGAUGCAACGCGAAGAACCUUACCUGGUCUUGACAUGUACGGAACCCUCCAGAGACGGAGGGGUGCCUUCGGGAGCCGUAACACAGGUGCUGCAUGGCUGUCGUCAGCUCGUGUCGUGAGAUGUUGGGUUAAGUCCCGCAACGAGCGCAACCCUUGUCAUUAGUUGCCAUCAUUAAGUUGGGCACUCUAAUGAGACUGCCGGUGACAAGCCGGAGGAAGGUGGGGAUGACGUCAAGUCCUCAUGGCCCUUAUGACCAGGGCUUCACACGUCAUACAAUGGUCGGUACAGAGGGUAGCCAAGCCGCGAGGCGGAGCCAAUCUCACAAAACCGAUCGUAGUCCGGAUUGCACUCUGCAACUCGAGUGCAUGAAGUCGGAAUCGCUAGUAAUCGCAGGUCAGCAUACUGCGGUGAAUACGUUCCCGGGUCUUGUACACACCGCCCGUCACACCAUGGGAGUGGGGGAUACCAGAAGUAGGUAGGGUAACCGCAAGGAGCCCGCUU
rnacentral:rRNA from 1 species